rnacentral:rRNA from 1 species
GACGGCAUAGCCUAAAAACAUGCAAAGUCGAACGGUAACAGGAAUCAGCUUGCUGAUUCGCUGACGAGUGUAAAGACGGGUGAGUAAUGUCUGGGAAACUGCCUGAUGGAGGGGGAUAACUACUGGAAACGGUAGCUAAUACCGCAUAACGUCGCAAGACCAAAGAGGGGGACCUUCGGGCCUCUUGCCAUCGGAUGUGCCCAGAUGGGAUUAGCUAGUAGGUGGGGUAACGGCUCACCUAGGCGACGAUCCCUAGCUGGUCUGAGAGGAUGACCAGCCACACUGGAACUGAGACACGGUCCAGACUCCUACGGGAGGCAGCAGUGGGGAAUAUUGCACAAUGGGCGCAAGCCUGAUGCAGCCAUGCCGCGUGUAUGAAGAAGGCCUUCGGGUUGUAAAGUACUUUCAGCGGGGAGGAAGGGAGUAAAGUUAAUACCUUUGCUCAUUGACGUUACCCGCAGAAGAAGCACCGGCUAACUCCGUGCCAGCAGCCGCGGUAAUACGGAGGGUGCAAGCGUUAAUCGGAAUUACUGGGCGUAAAGCGCACGCAUGGC